ensembl:rRNA 5S_rRNA 5S ribosomal RNA
GCCUGGAGCCCUAUUGAACUGAAAGCACCCAAUCUCCUCUGAUCUCAGAAACUAGGCAGUCCCAGGCCUAACUAAUAUUUGGAAGGGAGACCACCUAGGAAUCCUGGAUGCUGUUGACC